UGUUCCACAGUGCAUUGGCAACACCGGCAGCCAAGCUGGGAAGAUAAGCAUCACCUGCCCAGACACGAUUCACAACACAGAGGAGCUGAAGGGAAUUCUGACCGAGAAUAAGGAUUACAUUACAACCCACGUCUUCAGGUUCACGUUCCAAACUCCCAGGGGUGGACGGGGUGAUCAGCCAGGCCCUGUGGGGUGAUCUGGACUUCGUUCAAGUCCUCCUCGAGAACAACAAAUUCGACUGGGUCGACAAUAAGGCUUUUGCCAACUCCAAUGAGACUUUGCACUACCUAAGUUUGAAAAACAACUGCCUGAAGCAGUUCACUACCAGCUCAGCCAACGAGCUCCCGUAUCUCGCAACCCUUGACCUGAGCUACAACACCUGUCUGUGGUCUUCACAGACGCCUUCACUUACAAGAGCCUCGAGUACCUCGACCUCUCCAACAACCAGAUCACCUCCAUCGGGAAGAGGUCUUUCGCUGAACUGGACAACCUCAAGGAGCUGCACUUGAGCAAAAACCAGCUGACCAAACUGGAAGACGAGACCUUCAAGUUCAACAGCCACACCCAGCUCUCCAACCUCCUGGUCAUCGACGUCU